AUGCCAGACGAAAGACCAACAAGUGCAGACAGGGUCACCGCGCUGGAAAAAGCUCUAACCGGGUUUGCAGAUAGGGAUUCAGAUUCUGUUGUGACUCCGUCCGUUGGGCUAUCAUUUGACUCGAUAAAUGAGGCAUAUGAAUUCUACAACCUGUAUUCUUGGGAGUGUGGAUUUGGUGUUCGCUAUGCAAAGAGCAUGACGAAUGUAAAAGGGACAAAAUGCAUGCAGGAGUUCGUCUGCUGCUGCUCGGGCAAACCAAAAGAAGCAAAUUCGAAGUCUACAUGGUGUCAAUGCCAAGCCAUGAUAAGGCUUCUCCAAACGGACGACGAAGGCUGGCAUAUUGACAAAUACACCCGUGAGCUUGUUUCCCAACUGAGACAGAACAAUGUUAAUCUGAGCAAGGUUUAUAGUAUAAUCGCAACAUUUUUUGGUAGAGUUGAGAAUGUGCCGUUCACCAAGAGAUGUUUAAGGACUCUGUGUGGGAAGCUUAGCAGGGAGCAAGCUGAUGACGAUGUGCGAAAGACAAUGGCUAUUUUUUCAGAAAUGAAAGCACAAGACAGCGAGUUCACAUACAACGUUCAGGUAGAUGAUGAGAGUAGGAUAUGGACCCUUAUGUGGACGAACGGGCGUAGCAAAACACAGUACCAUCACUUCAGUGACGUUAUCACCUUCGACACGACAUACAAAACAAACCUGUAUGAUAUGCCAUUUGGUCUGUUUGUGGGGGUGAAUAAUCAUUUUCAGAGUGUGCUUUAUGCGAGACGAGACCGAGGAUACAUUCAAAUGGAUUUUUGA
rnacentral:rRNA from 1 species